rnacentral:rRNA from 1 species
UACAGAGGGUGCGAGCGUUAAUCGGAAUUACUGGGCGUAAAGCGUGCGUAGACGGUUAUUUAAGUCGGGUGUGAAAGCCCCGGGCUCAACCUGGGAAUUGCAUUCGAGACUGAAUAGCUAGGGUACGGUAGAGGGAAGCGGAAUUUCCGGUGUAGCGGUGAAAUGCGUAGAUAUCGGAAGGAACAUCAGUGGCGAAGGCAGCGCGCUGGGACGUUACUGACACUGAGGCGCGAAAGCGUGGGGAGCGAACAGG